AAUGCAUGAUGGGAAAGAUUAGGAUCUUUUAAUGUGCCGCGGCCACGUUUUUCUCAAUUGCAAUUUCUCAGUCGGCAACCCCACUUGAACGCCGGACUUGCACCUGACUCUACUGAAUCUGUCGUGUGAGUCGGACACCACCCCACCGCUAGACGCUAGAACCCUGCCACGGGCUGUCUAGGGAGAGGAGGGUGGCGCUUGGACGGCUGCUUUGUGCUACAUCUGGAGCUGUUGUCGGCUUUCUUGGUCGUGUGAAUCGGACACCACCCCACAUUCAAAGCUGGACUAGAACCCUGCCCCUGUCUCAAGCUUCCAACGGAGGGAGAGGAGGGUGAUGCUGUUGCAUUUUGUUGUUGUUGUUGCAUGUUUGCACUGUUUGACCUAUUAAGCUUGUUAGCAUUUCCAUUUGUGUUUUAUUCUAUAAACUACUGACAACAUCUCUCCCAAACUCCAAACAAAACAAAGAAGUCAUUUAGAGCAUUUAUUUGCAGAAAAUUACAACUGGUCAGAAUAACAGAGAAAAUGCUGUGUUUUCAAACCUCAAAUAAUGCAA